GCAGUCGAGCGCCCUGCUUGCAGGGAGCGGCAGACGGGUGAGUAAUGCAUGGGAAUCUACCCAGCUCUACGGAAUAACUCAGGGAAACUUGAACUAAUACCGUAUGCGCCCUUCGGGGGAAAGAUUUAUCGGAGUUGGAUGAGCCCAUGUCUGAUUAGCUAGUUGGUGGGGUAAAGGCCUACCAAGGCGACGAUCAGUAGCUGGUCUGAGAGGAUGAUCAGCCACACUGGGACUGAGACACGGCCCAGACUCCUACGGGAGGCAGCAGUGGGGAAUAUUGGACAAUGGGGGCAACCCUGAUCCAGCCAUGCCGCGUGAGUGAUGAAGGCCCUAGGGUUGUAAAGCUCUUUCACCGGUGAAGAUAAUGACGGUAACCGGAGAAGAAGCCCCGGCUAACUUCGUGCCAGCAGCCGCGGUAAUACGAAGGGGGCUAGCGUUGUUCGGAAUUACUGGGCGUAAAGCGCGCGUAGGCGGAUCGGUCAGUUAGGGGUGAAAUCCCGGGGCUCAACCCCGGAACUGCCUCUAAUACUGCCGAUCUAGAGUUCGAGAGAGGUGAGUGGAAUUCCGAGUGUAGAGGUGAAAUUCGUAGAUAUUCGGAGGAACACCAGUGGCCGAAGGCGGCUCACUGGCUCGAUACUGACGCUGAGGUGCGAAAAGCGUGGGGAGCAACAGGAUUAGAUACCCUG
rnacentral:rRNA from 1 species